rnacentral:tRNA from 1 species
GGGAUAUAACUCCGCGGUAGAGUGUCACCUUGACGUGGUGGAAGUAAUCAGUUCGAGCCUUAUUAUCCCUA